UACGAGGGGUGCAAGCGUUGCUCGGAAUUAUUGGGCGUAAAGGGUAGGUAGGUGGUCUCGUUUGUCUGAGGUGAAAGCCUUGAGCUUAACUCAAGAAGUGCCUUAGAAACGGCGAGACUGGAGUACUGGAGAGGGUCGUGGAAUUCCCGGUGUAGCGGUGAAAUGCGUAGAGAUCGGGAGGAACACCAGAGGCAAAGGCGGCGACCUGGACAGUGACUGACACUCAACUACGAAAGCGUGGGGAGCAAACAGG
rnacentral:rRNA from 1 species